rnacentral:lncRNA from 1 species
UAAGAAAAUUAUGUGAUUGGAACUGUGUUUUAAGGAGAUGAAUUUGGCUGUUUUGUGCAAGAUGGGUUGGCUGGAAAUCAGAGACCAGUGAGGAAGCUAUUGUGGAAGGAGAUGUGUAAUGAAGGCAUCAAAUGCAAGGAAAGGAUGGACACAGAAUGGACCAGGAGUCAUCUAAAUAGAUACCAAAAAAUUAGGAAUUACAGCAAACAGGAAGAGCUGAUGAGACCAAUGAUCACUUCUCAUAACUCGGUGGAAAGAGGAAUUUGGCACGAGGGAUGAUGGAUUAACCACCUGUCUCAUGAAGGGAGGUAU